AGUGAACGCUGGCGGUAGGCCUAACACAUGCAAGUCGAACGGCAGCACAGUAAGAGUUUGCUCUUAUGGGUGGCGAGUGGCGGACGGGUGAGGAAUACAUCGGAAUCUACUCUUUCGUGGGGGAUAACGUAGGGAAACUUACGCUAAUACCGCAUACGAUCUACGGGUGAAAGCAGGGGAUCUUCGGACCUUGCGCGAUUGAAUGAGCCGAUGUCGGAUUAGCUAGUUGGCGGGGUAAAGGCCCACCAAGGCGACGAUCCGUAGCUGGUCUGAGAGGAUGAUCGGCCACACUGGAACUGAGACACGGUCCAGACUCCUACGGGAGGCAGCAGUGGGGAAUAUUGGACAAUGGGCGCAAGCCUGAUCCAGCCAUACCGCGUGGGUGAAGAAGGCCUUCGGGUUGUAAAGCCCUUUUGUUGGGAAAGAAAAGCAGCAGGUUAAUACCCCGCUGUUCUGACGGUACCCAAAGAAUAAGCACCGGCUAACUUCGUG
rnacentral:rRNA from 1 species